CCUACGGGAGGCAGCAGUGAGGAAUAUUGGUCAAUGGACGAGAGCCUGAACCAGCCAAGUAGCGUGAAGGAUGACUGCCCUAUGGGUUGUAAACUUCUUUUAUCUGGGAAUAAAAUGUUUGACGUGUGGGGUUUUGUGUGUACCAUAUGAAUAAGGAUCGGCUAACUCCGUGCCAGCAGCCGCGGUAAUACGGAGGAUUCGAGCGUUAUCCGGAUUUAUUGGGUUUAAAGGGUGCGUAGGUGGUUAGUUAAGUCAGCUGUGAAAGUUUGCGGCUCAACCGUAGAAUUGCAGUUGAAACUGGCAGACUUGAGUACAGUAGAGGUAGGCGGAAUGCGUGGUGUAGCGGUGAAAUGCAUAGAUAUCGCGCAGAACUCCGAUUGCGAAGGCAGCGUACU
rnacentral:rRNA from 1 species